rnacentral:lncRNA from 1 species
GGAAUAACGAUCUAGAUACCGAGACUAAAUGCUUUAGAAAAUUUAGUGAGGUUUAUGACCUGACGGAAACGGAUGUCUCCGAUCAACAGAUCGGAGUACGAUCUUUGAUUCCAGAGACGAGAGCGUUCUUUGAUUUCAGAAGUUCCAGAAAAUUAUCACAGAAGUUCCGUCGAUGGCUGAUCGGUAAGACCAAGAGUCAUGGAUAAUAGUUCCCUCUGAUUUCAGUAGGGGAAAACGUUUGGAUUUUUAUUUC